AGAAUCAACGCUGGCGGCGUGCCUAACACAUGCAAGUCGAACGAGAAAGUGGAGCAAUCCACAAGUAAAGUGGCGCACGGGUGAGUAACACGUGACUAACCUACCCUUGAGUGGGGGAUAACCUAGAGAAUCUGGGCUAAUACCGCAUAAUACCUUCGGGUCAAAGGAGCAAUUCGCUUAAGGAGGGGUCGCGGCCGAUUAGUUAGUUGGCGGGGUAAUGGCCCACCAAGACUAUGAUCGGUA
rnacentral:rRNA from 1 species